rnacentral:rRNA from 1 species
AGUGAACGCUGGCGGUAGGCCUAACACAUGCAAGUCGAACGGCAGCACAGUAAGAGCUUGCUCUUACGGGUGGCGAGUGGCGGACGGGUGAGGAAUACAUCGGAAUCUACUUUUUCGUGGGGGACAACGUAGGGAAACUUACGCUAAUACCGCAUACGACCUACGGGUGAAAGCAGGGGAUCUUCGGACCUUGCGCGAUUGAAUGAGCCGAUGUCGGAUUAGCUAGUUGGCGGGGUAAAGGCCCACCAAGGCGACGACCCGUAGCUGGUCUGAGAGGAUGAUCAGCCACACUGGAACUGAGACACGGUCCAGACUCCUACGGGAGGCAGCAGUGGGGAAUAUUGGACAAUGGGCGCAAGCCUGAUCCAGCCAUACCGCGUGGGUGAAGAAGGCCUUCGGGUUGUAAAGCCCUUUUGUUGGGAAAGAAAAGCAGCAGGUUAAUACCCCGCUGUUCUGACGGUACCCAAAGAAUAAGCACCGGCUAACUUCGUG